AUAGUAUGAGUAUCUCCAAUAAACCAGAAGUGGAGCAGAAGCAUAAGAAUGUGUGAGGCAGGCAAGAGAUCCUGUAGCCAGAGUCCUAAGAGGAUCCCAGAAAGGCCUGGACAUAGCAGGAGAGGCUCCAUGGAGGAGUAUGGACUUGGGAGAAGGCUCCAUCUUGAUGGGCCCAUGGGGAUCUACUCCUGGCUGGUUGCUACUCCAGCAGGCUUGGUUUUAUGAAUUUGGGGAGAAAUGGGUCUUUACUUUCAAGGUGGCCCUGAGGCCCCAGGAACUGAGGACCUCAGAGCUAGAGGAAACCCUGAAGAGCUUCUCUCUGGGGCAAGGACAGAAGGUGGGGUGAAGGGUAGGAAGAGGAAGCACACAGCCCUCCCCACUCUCAAGUCUUCUCAUCUUUCCCUGGAAAAUCUGAUUAGGUAGUUCUGCAUGGGACCUGGAAAUUUGCAUUUUAAUGAGAGCCCAAUUACGCUUGACAUAUUUUGUUCCAAAAUGGCAUCUUACCUUUAUGGAGUACUCUUUGCUGUUGGCCUCUGUGCUCCAAUCUACUGUGUGUCCCCGGCCAAUGCCCCCAGUGCAU
rnacentral:lncRNA from 1 species